AUAUACGCAUGAUAAGCAUAAAUAAGAUUUGAAAAAUAUUUAUUAAUUUUCACGUACGAAAAAAUCAUCAUUUUAGGAAUGAAUAUAUAUUUUACCCGAGAAGAAAUAUGUUUCAACUUGCUCAUGAUACGCAAGUCCGAUAGAAACGAUAAAGCUAAAGCGCAGAAGUUAGCAGCAAAAAGGGAAUAAAACUUGAUUCAUUGGAUAAAAAUGCAACGCAAUGAAAAAUAUAAGAGUUACCGAUUAAUUUGAAAAUCGAAUUAGAGAAAAUAGAGAAACAGGAUAGAAAAUAUAUCGAAAGAGCGGACCAAUGACUUGGCCUUUCAAAGGAAAGACACUCGUUUUAAGCUGCUUGAGACAUGAUAAAAAUUUCAAAAGCAAAACAAAUGAAAGUGACCUCUCGACAUUCGGUCGUCGCUGGAAAAGGAAGAGUUGGGGGGCGGUAGUUAAACAGAAGGAAGGAGAGAUUCAGAAUGAGUUUCUGUCUAUGAGUACGGGUCGAGUGGCACGGCACUGCUUAUUGAUCUCACUACCAAUGAUGCACGACACUUACGAUAACCGAGUCGAAGGGAUUGUGGCAGGCCAGGGCUGCUGCUGCUGAUGAGCGAACUUCACGGGACUCGCGAGCUUUUUCACUCGGCUAUCAUCCCGUACAAGCCCCAAGAUCUGCUCGGCCGUGGAAGGCAGGCGGCAGGGCUGCUGGAAAACGGGGGAGGAGGUAUAUUCGCUCGCCCACCGGAGAAAGGGGCAACGAGUGGGGGUAGACACGGGUCUGGCGGGAGUAUAGUUACUUAGAGGGGAUAGAGGACCGGGAAAAAGAGAGAAAGAGAGAGAGAGGAGGUAGGGGUGCUGUCACUGGAAAAGCAGCCAGGGGUAGGAACUCCCGUCACCACCAGAUAUGGGUCACUUUACGAUCGAUACCGAUAUAGAACCCCUUCAAAGCUAGGGAUCACGAACGAUCGCCUACGUCAUUUUUUACUUCGAUAUAGCACCUUAACCUACAGUUCUUUUUUCGUCUUUUUCAAAUUUAAAAAAAAAAAUAAAA